UCUCACUGGAAUGCACCCACCGUAUACCCCAUCGUUCAACACUAUCUCAGCUCCAGUUUGUAUCGCUGCUGCGAAAAAAACAGAUAACCGAUUGCUUGGUUUUCUUUACUUUCGUGUACACCAAAAACCGUUCAGAUGGUUAUUUUGACCUUACCUCAUCUCUUCCUCCAAACCCAAAUCUUAAGUUUGCAAGUUUGAAAAAGUUGAGAGUAAUCAAAAUCCAAUUCUUUAUGAUCAAGAUUUCAUGAUUCCUGGUGGUUUUUUAAGCAAGAAUUUUACUGGUUGCAAAUGAUAAAUGUACGGGUUGUGGUUGUUUAACAGUCUCAUUUGAUUGGUGACCAACUCCUCCCCAAUGAUUCCCACGCUACUGCAAUCAAUUCCAUCCCUUUGGUUAAUAGAAGCCUUAUUUUCCCAAAUCUAAACUGCAACAAAAGGGGGUAAAAUGAUCUCUGCGAGUAAGGUCGUGCAUCGCCAAAUUGUACUCCAGGUCCAGAUAGUAACAUAUGGAGGUGAUAAGAGGGCUUUUGAAGUUACAAAGACAUUCGUCAAAAGAAACCGCUGGGCACAAUACUUUGUUGAAGAUUUGAUGGCAGAAAUUCGCAACUUCACAUACAUGCUACCGCUUCGAAAAAGUAAUGGGUACACGUUUUAUACAUUGCCAUCUAAUGCCUGUUAUAACAACUACAAGAACAUCAUUGCACGUUGGAGAGUUUGUAUUAUCCAUUUGAUUAAGCAAAAUUAUAUUCUUCACCGAACAUGACAAUAACAGGUGAGUCAACAGGAAUGAAAACUUCCACCGAUAUAGGGGGAAAUGUGCUAUGAAAGAGGAACUGGGGAGACUUCUAUGAACGAUAUUGAUUAGUUGAUUUCUCCAGGAAGGGAGCUGGUGAAAACCUAUUUCUUUAAAAAAAUUAAUCUUCCAUGUUUAUUUAGAGCAUUAGCUCAUUAUAACCAAUGAAGCUAAAUAAAACAGUGUCUGACUGUUAAGAUUAUAUCUCUUUCGUUUAACACCCUUUUGUUUAUCACAAAGGAUGCCUUUACGAUGA